rnacentral:rRNA from 1 species
ACGGGUGAGUAAUAUAUCGGAACGUGCCCAAUCGUGGGGGAUAACGUAGAGAAAUUUACGCUAAUACCGCAUACGAUCUAAGGAUGAAAGCGGGGGAUCGCAAGACCUCGCGCGAUUGGAGCGGCUGAUAUCAGAUUAGGUUGUUGGUGAGGUAAAAGCUCACCAAGCCGACGAUCUGUAGCUGGUUUGAGAGAACGACCAGCCACACUGGGACUGAGACACGGCCCAGACUCCUACGGGAGGCAGCAGUGGGGAAUUUUGGACAAUGGGCGAAAGCCUGAUCCAGCAAUGCCGCGUGCAGGAAGAAGGCCUUCGGGUUGUAAACUGCUUUUGUACGGAACGAAACGGCUCUUUCUAAUAAAGAGGGCUAAUGACGGUACCGUAAGAAUAAGCACCGGCUAACUACGUGCCAGCAGCCGCGGUAAUACGUAGGGUGCGAGCGUUAAUCGGAAUUACUGGGCGUAAAGCGUGCGCAGGCGGUUAUGUAAGACAGUUGUGAAAUCCCCGGGCUCAACCUGGGAAUUGCAUCUGUGACUGCAUAGCUAGAGUACGGUAGAGGGGGAUGGAAUUCCGCGUGUAGCA